rnacentral:lncRNA from 1 species
GGCAUGGGGAGGAUCAGGACCAGAGUCAGAGAGAAAACUUUCAGCCACAGGGGUUUAUGGAUGCCUCAGGAUAGGUGAGGCUGCUCCCAAGAAGGAGGUCCUGAGGGAGCAGGAGGUGAGCUCAGCUGCACACAGAGGACUCAGUUGGGGAGACUCCCUCAAAAGUGGCAGCCACCCUGAGUCACUAAGUCUGUGACUCACCUCUGGCAGAGAGGAGGCAGGACAAGUAACAAAGCUGGUGCUUCCUGGGAUGUUAUCUGUGGGCCAGUCCCUGGUUUGCAAAUCCCUUCCGUGCAUGAACUUAUCUAAAGCCCUAUGAGGUGGAGCUAGUACCGGCACUAUCCCAUACUGCAGAUGGAGAAAUUGAGGCCCUGUGCGGUGGGGGUUAUUCCAGACUCUUCGGCCAGGACACAGGCAUUUGGCUAAACCUAGUGUUUGUGGCAGGGUCUGUUCUGAUUGGCCGAUGCCUGUCCUACUGGUUAGUCAAUGUUUUGAAGGUCACCCUGGUUACACAGCUGGAGGAGGCAGAAUCCCAACUAACCCCUGGGGCUGGAGCCCUGGUCUGAACCAGGAUCCUCUCUCCGUCUAGCGCCGCAGCGCACCUCAGGACAAGUAAUGUGCGUCGAAGGGCUUUGGAAACUGCAAGGCACAGUAUAAAUAACAGGUUCCUUCAUUCCUCCUGGGCAGGAACUUUGGCCUCAACAGUUCCUUCUUUGUUGAGGCCAAAGAAGCUGGGCCAUGAGAAGGCAGAGGAAACGCUGCUGUGGGGAACCAGCAUUCUCUCUGCUUACUCAACGGGGAAAGUGAGUCAGAAGGGAAGCCUCCCUGAGUGGAGCCCCAUGGUCAGCCCCUGGGAGGUUCUCACGUGCCAGACGCCAUCCGGCACUAACCAGGUUAGCCUGGACUUGUCCCCAGGGCCCGUCCAGGCUCUCCUGCAACUGGCCACCAGGGGGCGCCGCUCCCCCAGCCUUCCUCUUACUGAACCUACCCCCCACCACCCCCCCAACAACCUGCUCGCGAGAAACCAGGCCUUGGAAGGAGUCCCGGGGAGCAGGCACCAGAGACUUUGAAAAGUGGCAAAAACGCGGGAGAUGCUGAGUGGAGCCCUGUGGAGGAGUGCCUGCUCCCAUUUUACAGAUGAGGAAUUUGAGGCCCAAAGAUGUUGGGUAAGAUCAAGAGGCUAGGGACAGGCAGCGCUGCGUCAUUUGCUUCCAAGGUCAGUUCCUAAUGGGACCACAAGCAAAUGCUAGCUCAUUUGGCCCUGUUGCCUAGCGGGGUCUCCCCCCCCGCCCCCCGUUGAUCCUAUGUUCUGAGUCGUGGCCAACACCACAACCUAUUCCCCCACUGUGUUCCAGCAACAAUUCCAGCUGCCCCUUCUCCAACCUGAACUUUCUGGAAGCCUGGGCACCUGCUUCAUUGUUUUCCAGGGACCCCCAUCAGCCACCCAUCCCACACCCUCCCCAUCUGGGCAGAGCCGGGAGCCCCCUCUGCAGCCCUGUCCUGCUUGACAUCCCUUCCCCACCCCAGGGACCCCGCGGGGUCAGGCUUUGCUCCUCGACACCCCACGGUAGGCAGCAGCACGAAUAAACAAUGGGACAUUUGAACCAGGAAGAGCCUGUGGUUGAGGCCAAAACAGGCACCAAGGUUUUCUCUCAGCUCCUACCAACUCCUUUUAUGGCCUCUGGGCCCAGUUCCUUCUUCAUAAAAAGUCAGAACUG